rnacentral:rRNA from 1 species
AGUUAAAAGCUCGUAGUUGGAUUCCUGACCUGGGGUAGCCGGUCCGCCUUGCAAAAGGUGCGCACUGAGCGGCCUCGGUCAUCCUUGAGAAGAGCGGUCCUGGCAUUCAGUUGUCGGGGUCGGGAUUCUCGACGUUUACUGUGAAAAAAUCAGAGUGUUCAACGCAGGCUUACGCCUUGAAUACAUUAGCAUGGAAUAAUGAGAUAGGACCUUGGCGGUCUAUUUUGUUGGUUUGCACGCCGAGGUAAUGAUUAAAAGGGACGGUUGGGGUUCUUCGUAUUCAUUGUCAGAGGUGAAAUUCUUGGAUUUAUGGAAGACGAACUGCUGC